rnacentral:lncRNA from 1 species
GCGGCCGUUCUCAGGCCGCUCUGCUGGUUUAAAUGGCAAUAAAAAUGAAUUACUGCCGAACGCCUACAAAGUUAAUGCUUUUGGCUGGGAAUCCCCAGUCCCUCCAAAUACGUAAGAGGUUUUUAUUUGUGCAUGUGCUCCUGCAAUUGAUCUCUUUGAUGACAUUCUCAUUCAUAAAAGAGAGUUUGAUUUAUGAGUUUGGGAAGAAUUUCAUCCAGG